CUUCAGCUUGGCUCAAGCUCUGCUACAACUUGGCCUACUCAAAUUGUUGUGCAUUGAUGGACUAUAUAGUCAUCUGUCUGGACUUGAUGUCUGUCCAUGUGGACCUGGGCCUUUACCAGUGCCCCUUACCUUACUUCUGCAGCACAGGUCUGUCCCAGGGCGUGGUUCGUACCUUGUCUUAACAGCUGUGCCUCCAGUUGACCUCCAUCCAGCAAGGGUUUAUACCCGGAUAAGAUCGUGGAUGCCUUUCUCU
rnacentral:lncRNA from 1 species